AUUGAACGCUGGCGGCAGGCCUAACACAUGCAAGUCGAACGAGUGGCGGACGGGUGAGUAAUGUCUGGGAAACUGCCUGAUGGAGGGGGAUAACUACUGGAAACGGUAGCUAAUACCGCAUACCAUCAGAGGUGCCCAGAUGGGAUUAGCUAGUUGGUGGGGUAACGGCUCACCAAGGCGACGAGCCCUAGCUGGUCUGAGAGGAUGACCCGUCACACUGGGGCUGGGACUCGUUCCAGACUCCUACGGGAUGCAGCAGUGGGGAAUAUUGCACAAUGGGCGAAAGCCUGAUACAACCAUGCCGCGUGUAUGAAGAAGGCCGUCGGGUGGUAAAGUGCGUACAGCGAGGAGGCGUUACCCGCAGCAGAAGCACCGGCUAACUCCGUGCCAGCAGCCGCGGUAAUUC
rnacentral:rRNA from 1 species